rnacentral:lncRNA from 1 species
GUCAUUCCAUACAAAGGGAAAAAUAUGUAAGAAGAUAAAUAUUUUUUUCUAAGACCACGAAAAAAUUUAAAGUGUUCGGUCUUACUGGCAGAAAAAAUAAAAAAGAUAUUAUUCACGAUUAAAGAUGAUUUCAAAAAGAAAAAAAAAACAAAUUAUUAUCAUGAAUAAAAUAUAUUAAGAUGGGUUUAGUUAAAAAGAUCAAACAAAUAAAUAAAAAAGAAAAAGAAAAGAAAAUUAUAUAGAAUAUAAUG